rnacentral:tRNA from 1 species
GCCUCGGUAGGGCAGUAGGCAGCGCGUCAGUCUCAUAAUCUGAAGGUCGUGAGUUCGAUCCUCAUCCAGGGCA